ACGCUCGACACCUACGAGAGGCAGCAGUGGGGAAUAUUGCACAAUGGGGGAAACCCUGAUGCAGCAACGCCGCGUGAAGGAAGACGGUUUUCGGAUUGUAAACUUCUGUUCUUAGUGAAGAUAGUGACGGUAGCUAAGGAGCAAGCCACGGCUAACUACGUGCCAGCAGCCGCGGUAAUCUGAGCGGGCUGGCAAGGC
rnacentral:rRNA from 1 species